rnacentral:misc_RNA from 1 species
GUGUAGUUCAAGGCAGAGGCGGCCUUAUUUUAGGCUCACUCAUUCCUUGUGCACUUUUCUACUUCCUCCAAUUCUACUUGAAACGACACCGUACUACCCCGUCUUCUUCUAAUCCUCCGUCACCGUCCACGUCAUCGCCGAACCUAUCCGAUUUACAACGCUCGUCUUCACGUUUAAAUUUGUCAACUCGUGGUUCCGUUGGCCGUGUCUUUUUGUCUUCAAGGGCUAGUUUGGUUGCUGCACCGAAUGAUUCCCCUUACUACGUUGGAAUGGAUAGGUUCCGAGCGGAUCCAUACGAUGAAUUGGAUAAUCCCGACGGUGUUAUUGAUCUCGGAAUUGCGGAAAACAGGUUGUCGCUUGAUCUGAUUGAGAAGUGGAUUUCAAGCAAUGUGAAUAUUGGAAGUGGCGGUGAUGGAUUGAAUAUCAAUGGAAUUCUUACAUACCAGCCAUUUGAUGGAAUGGCUGAGCUGAAAGUGGCCAUGUCAGGCUUCAUGUCUCAGGUCAUGGGAGAAAAAG